CUGUGUGUCUUCCUUCUCCGCUUUCAGAUAGCAUUGUCAGUCAUUGAUGCGAGAAUCUUGUUUAGAAUUUCUUUGUGGAACAAGAAAGAAAGGACUUGACUAACGACAUUCAUUCUCGCUUAAGCUCUUCGUUCGGUCUUUGUCUAUCGCGAUCAGUCUCUCUUAACUCAUACUGACAAAAGUCAUUCAAAACGUACUUCCUGACCAAGCAGUUGGGAUUGACUGAGAGAACUACUAGAAAAAAUACUAAUCCCAAGCCCUUCGACAAAGCACACUGCACGAGGAAGAGCUUAAGCGGAAUGAGUUUGACAGUGUCGGACAGGGAUAUCGUUUUCUUUUCUCAAAUAUAUUUCAUAUAUGGUACUCUUGGCUUCGCACUAAACCGAUCGUGAUAAAGCUUCACAUGUUGGCAUUCCACCUGUGCUUCACACUCAAAAAAGUAGGUAUGGAGGGAGGGUGGGAAAGGAACAAGCUUCAAAGAAGCAAACAUUAGAACAUUCAUAGCUUGGUCGUUGUUCGCCUAUCUAUCUCUAGAAUAGCAUGAUAUCGGUCCUAGUCCCACCUAUCCGUAAGAGGACUAGCGCUAUGCCUUCUGUCAAACAGCCCAUUUUCCUCUAUGAUCUGGGUCUCAAAUCAAGAAAGUUGUAGCUCUCCCCCCUAGUGGCAAACCUUAUGAACCUCUUUUCCUUACGGAUUGGGGUCUCAGAUCGAAAAAGUUUUCACUCAUAUAGCGGCGAUAAGGAGUUGAGGGAGUUGAAAACUUCCAGAGCAGCCAACUCAGCUCUUUUUUUUUUUUUUUUAUUUAAUUUAGAGUGAUGGCUUGACAGCCCUUGAACCUAGUAGGGGCAUGUUGAAAGACUUUAUUAUAUCCAUCUAGUCCUUGCUUGGCUUUCCUAAAUAGUGUCAGUCAAAAGUCAGUGCUUUGAAUCGAACGUACGCUCGUUGAAUAGAGGAAAACCGCAGG
rnacentral:lncRNA from 1 species